rnacentral:rRNA from 1 species
UACGGGGGGGGCAAGCGUUGUUCGGAAUUACUGGGCGUAAAGGGCUCGUAGGCGGCCAACUAAGUCGGACGUGAAAUCCCCAGGCUCAACCUGGGAACUGCGUCCGAUACUGGAUGGCUUGAAUCCGGGAGAGGGAUGCAGAAUUCCAGGUGUAGCGGUGAAAUGCGUAGAUAUCUGGAGGAAUACCGGUGGCGAAAGCGGCUCUCUGGGACGGUACUGACGCUGAGACGCGAAAGCGUGGGGAGCGAACAGG